AUCAGGAAUUCUUCCUAUUAUUCUGCUGUUGCUGUGUGUCCUGGAGAUCCUGCAGCUUUGGAUCAGCAGCACUGGCCCUAUUUAUGCUUCCCAACUGUUCACAGAUGCUAUAAAUUUUGGGAUGAGCCAACUCUGAUGGAUCUAGUGGUAGCUGAGCUGGUCAGCACAUUGACUCUCCCUUAUGAGGUCCACCAGGACAAGCCCUCCAGCACUGCUCCAGCCAGACCACCUAAUGUCCAUCACCAAGAGGCAGUGUGUGGCAUCCUGCAUCUGAGCUGAAUGCAGGGACCACUUGGAUUUUUGAGAGAAAAACAGUACUCUGAUUGUGGUCAGAGGAAGCUUGGAAUGGAUAGUGAUUAACAGGAUGCAGCAGUGUUAACUGGGAAGACAGAUAGAUACAUUGACACAGAGACAAGAAUGUCAACAUCCUCUAAAAGCUGAAAGAGGCAGGGUUCUGAGAUCAAAGCCUUGGCCAUGGUAGAAAAGUUCUACGUAUGGAAAAUGAAGGAUAGAAGGAAGGACAAGGAGAGAUGGAGGAGAGAGAUCUUACAGGCUUUCAAGUCUAAGGUCUAAUUUGCAGUUUGGUGACCCUGAAUCUAUACCACUGUGGUGAACAUGCUGUGAAGACAGGAAAUCUUUCUCUACACCGUGCAUGCUCUCUGAACUCCAUAAUUGGAAAAAGAUUCAGAGAACAAUACGAACAUUUGCAAAGGAGAAAAUCUUCUCUCAUGAAUGUGUGGUGUGACUUCUUUUUAAAUCACAAAGACAAUUUUAAUUUGAAACAGGGCCCCAUUCUGAACAUGAGUUUGCUGGUGGAGAAGAUUGCAUGACACACAUAAAAGUGGGCGAGGAAGAGGAACAAGAAGGAAAUGGAAGAGGCCUUCAGAUGAAGAUGUUGAACUCUCAGUUCUUCCUGCACCAUGCCUGCCUGGAUGCUGUCAUGCUCCUGCCUUGAUGAAAAUGAACUGAACCUCUGAACUGCAUACUAUGCCAAGAAAAUGCAGGCCUUUGGUCAGUAUCCCACUGAGAGCCCUCCUUCGUACCAGUGGACAUCACUUGUUUUUAGGGGCUAUGCAAAGCUACUAAUACCAAUUUCUAGAGUUAUUACAAAAGCAGCAAAGAGAAAUAUGGAAUCUCAAGCAACAUUCUCUAUGCAAGUAGAGUCAUGCCACCUGAACAACUGAUACAGUUUUGAAGAAUUAAACUAGAGUUAUAAGUGUCCCCAAAAU
rnacentral:lncRNA from 1 species